UACGAAGGGGGCUAGCGUUGCUCGGAAUCAUUGGGCGUAAAGCGCACGUAGGCGGCUUUUAAGUCAGGGGUGAAAUCCUGGAGCUCAACUCCAGAACUGCCUUUGAUACUGAGAAGCUUGAGUCCGGGAGAGGUGAGUGGAACUGCGAGUGUAGAGGUGAAAUUCGUAGAUAUUCGCAAGAACACCGGUGGCGAAGGCGGUUCUCUGGGCCUGACCUGACGCUGAGGAGCGAAAGCGUGGGGAGCGAACAGG
rnacentral:rRNA from 1 species